ACAGCUCAACAUUUGAAUCUGGCCCAGGGUCCGAGUUGUAAUUGCAGAGGAUGAUUUUGGCGAGGUGCCUUCCGAGUUCCCUGGAACGGGACGCCACAGAGGGUGAGAGCCCCGUCUGGUUGGACGCCGAGCCUAUGUAAAUCUCCUUCGACGAGUCGAGUAGUUUGGGAAUGCUGCUCUAAAUGGGAGGUAUAUGUCUUCAAAGCUAAAUAUUGGCCAGAGACCGAUAGCGCACAAGUAGAGUGAUCGAAAGUGAAAAGCUUUUUGAAAAGAGGGUUAAAUAUUACGUGAAAUUGUUGAAAGGUAAGCGCUCAUGACCAGACUUGGUCCCGGUGAAUCAUCCAGCGUUCUCGCUGGGCACUUUGCCGGGCUCAGGCCCAUCAGUUUGCCGGGGGAUAAAGGCUUUGGAAUGUGGUCCUCCGCGAGUGUUA
rnacentral:rRNA from 1 species